UACGAAGGGGGCUAGCGUUGCUCGGAAUCACUGGGCGUAAAGCGCACGUAGGCGGCUUCUUAAGUCAGGGGUGAAAUCCUGGAGCUCAACUCCAGAACUGCCUUUGAUACUGAGGAGCUCGAGUCCGGGAGAGGUGAGUGGAACUCCGAGUGUAGAGGUGAAAUUCGUAGAUAUUCGGAAGAACACCAGUGGCGAAGGCGGCUCACUGGCCCGGUACUGACGCUGAGGUGCUAAAGCGUGGGGAGCAAACAGG
rnacentral:rRNA from 1 species